rnacentral:ncRNA from 1 species
AGACCGUGUAGCCUUGCGAAUUUGGCGCAAGGGUAUCCACGAUCCCGCCGAACGGGAUGCGACCACGGGGA